rnacentral:rRNA from 1 species
ACCUGGCUCACACCGGUUUAAACUCAGAUCAUGUAAAAUUUCAAAGGUCGAACAGACCUAAUUUGCCAGCUCCUCCACCAACAAUUUAUUUUAAUCCAACAUCGAGGUCGCAAUCUUUAAAUUCGAUAAGAACUCUAAAAAAAAUUACGCUGUUAUCCCUAAGGUAGUUAAAUCUUGUAAUCUUUAUGAAAGGAUCAUUUAUUCAUAAAUUAAUGAAAAAAUAAAAAAAAGUUCAUCUAAUUUUUUUGUCACCCCAACAAAAUACUUUUUAUACUAAAAUAAUUUUUAAAUCCAAUAUUUCUUUUAACAGAAAAAUAUAAAACUCUAUAGGGUCUUCUCGUCUUCUAUAACUAUUUAAGCUUUUUAACUUAAAAAUAAAGUUCUAAUUAAUUUUUACAGAGACAGAAAUCUUUUCAUCAAACCUUUCAUUCCAGCUUUCAAUUAAAAAACUAAUGAUUAUGCUACCUUUGCACGGUCAAUAUACCGCGGCCAUUUAACUUCUCAUUGGGCAGGCUAGACCUAAAAUUAUAUUCAAUAAGCC